rnacentral:rRNA from 1 species
AGAGUUUGAUCCUGGCUCAGAACGAACGCUGGCGGCGUGCCUAACACAUGCAAGUCGAGGGAGAAAGCCGUAAGGUGAGUACACCGGCGAACGGGUGCCUAACACGUGGACAACCUCCCUUCAAGACUGGGAUAACUGGGCGAAAGCCUUGCUAAUACCAGAUAAGCCCACGGGGACUCAUGUCCUUGAGGGAAAAGAUGGCCUCUGUAUACAAGCUAUCACUUGGAGAUGGGUCCGCGGCCCAUCAGCUCGUUGGCGGGGUAACGGCCCACCAAGGCAACGACGGGUAGCUGGUCUGAGAGGAUGAUCAGCCACACUGGAACUGAGACACGGUCCAGACUCCUACGGGAGGCAGCAGUGGGGAAUCUUGCGCAAUGGGCGAAAGCCUGACGCAGCAACGCCGCGUGUGUGAUGAAGGUCUUCGGAUCGUAAAGCACUGUCGCGAGGGAAGAGAAGCCUGGGGUGAACAAUCCCGGGAUAGGACGGUACCUCGAGAGGAAGCACCGGCUAACUCUGUGCCAGCAGCCGCGGUAAUACAGAGGGUGCGAGCGUUGUUCGGAAUUAUUGGGCGUAAAGCGCUUGUAGGCGGUCGUUUAAGUCUCAUGUGAAAGCCCCAGGCUUAACUUGGGAAGUGCAUGAGAUACUGGACGACUUGAAUGCCGGAGAGGGUCGCGGAAUUCCCGGUGUAGAGGUGAAAUUCGUAGAUAUCGGGAGGAACACCAGUGGCGAAGGCGGCGACCUGGACGGACAUUGACGCUGAGACGCGGAAGCGUGGGUAGCAAACAGGAUUAGAUACCCUGGUAGUCCACGCUGUAAACGAUGGGUGCUAGUUGUGGUGGGUGUUGACCCCUGCCGUGAC